AGCGCAGACGGUUGAUUAAGUCUGAUGUGAAAGCCCGGAGCUCAACUCCGGAAUGGCAUUGGAAACUGGUUAACUUGAGUGCAGUAGAGGUAAGUGGAACUCCAUGUGUAGCGGUGGAAUGCGUAGAUAUAUGGAAGAACACCAGUGGCGAAGGCGGCUUACUGGACUGUAACUGACGUUGAGGCUCGAAAGUGUGGUAGCAAAACA
rnacentral:rRNA from 1 species